CCUACGGGAGGCAGCAGUGGGGAAUAUUGCGCAAUGGGCGAAAGCCUGACGCAGCGACGCCGCGUGAAGGAAGAAGGCUUUCGGGUUGUAAACUUCUGUUAAGGGGGAAGAGCAGAAGACGGUACCCCUUGAAUAAGCCACGGCUAACUACGUGCCAGCAGCCGCGGUAAUACGUAGGUGGCAAGCGUUGUCCGGAUUUACUGGGUGUAAAGGGCGUGCAGCCGGAGAGUCAAGUCAGAGGUGAAAUCAACGGGCUCAACCCGUGAACUGCAUUUGAAACUGUUUGGCUUGAGUGUCGGAGAGGUGAUUGGAAUUCCUUGUGUAGCGGUGAAAUGCGUAGAUAUAAGGAAGAACACCAGUGGCGAAGGCGGCUUACUGGACGAUAACUGACGGUGAGGCGCGAAAGCGUGGGGAGCAAACAGGAUUAGAUACCCCAGUAGUC
rnacentral:rRNA from 1 species